CACAUAUUCUUUCUUCUUUUCCCUGUUCUCUUUGCCUCUCACCUCCUCUCUUUUUUGGUUCAAGAUCUGCCUUAGCAUCCCAGACUACCUUCGUUCAACUUUCGCGUCCAUGGGUUACCAAGGGAGAGAGCUUGGGAGUGAGAGUUCUCAUGGUGGCUGCUUCAGAGCCAUGGGUUCAUGCUUUGAGUGUCUUCGAAUUUACUCGCAUUGCUCUUUGUGUCUCUCCUUACUGUUCUUCACUUCCUCCAUUUAGAUCUAGAUGGAGAAGCCGUCGCACCCUUCAUUCUUCGUGUUCAUCGGCCAUCUUUUAGUGAGUAGAUGGUGCUUCAAGUGAAUGGAAAGUAGCAAAAACAUCUAAGCUCAGAAGAGGUGGAUUUAUUCGUGAACCUUGGUUGGAGAAGUUGUUUGAAGCGGAGCAUGAUGUUCUCAAGGCUCAUGGGGGAAGUGGGAUUCAGAUCAUGAUUGGAAUCCCCAAUGAGAUGUUGUCUCUCUUAGGAUCUUCCCCUUUUGCUGCUAAUUUGUAGGUUCCCUCGAAUGUUUCGUCGUUUAUAUGAAGGUGGUGUGGAUAUCAAGUUGCUCUUGUCUCAAUGAUUCUCGCUUCUCAUUUUAGUUUUCAUUUUGUUUCCUGAGAAAGCAAAAAUUCCACUGUCUCUUUGUUCACUGUGUUUUAACUGCUUCAUCUAAGAUUAACUUCUGAAAUAAUAGCAGUUUAGCAAAAAUU